rnacentral:lncRNA from 1 species
AGUCGACUCGGUGACAGGUUCUGAGAUGUAUCUUUCUGUCCGGCUGUCUGUUCUCAGUCGGAGUCGACUCGUAAUGUGCAGGAGUCGACUCGAGCUUGUGCUAAUGCUUCUGAUACGCUUGGAGUCGACUCGUAAUCUUCCGGAGUCGACUCGAGAUUCAGACUUUGGUUCAAAUUGAUUUCCAUACUUAGCCAAAGUGUAUUGAACC